AGACCUGCCCGGUGAAUAUUUAUUUAAACGGCCGCGGUAUUUUGACCGUGCAAAGGUAGCAUAAUCAGUUGUCUUAUAAUUGAAGACUGGAAUGAAUGGUUAAACGAAAUUAGAGCUGUUUCAUUUGUAUUUAUUAGAAAUUGGCUUUUAAAUGAAGAGAUUUAAAUUUGAUUAAGGGACAAGAAGACCCUAUUGAGCUUUAAAUAAUUUUAAGGGUUAAAGUUAUUAUAAAGAUCUAUGAUCUUUAGUAUUUUUUUAGUUGGGGCGACUAAGGAACAGGCGAAGCUUCCUUUAUUUAUUUAAUUGAUAGAUUUUGAUCCUGUAUUACUGAUUAAGAGAAAUAGUUACCAUAGGGAUAACAGCAUAAUCUUCUUGGAGAGUUCUUAUUAAAAAGGGGGGUUGUGACCUCGAUGUUGGACUAAAAUAUCCUAAGGGUGUAGAAGCUUUUAAGGGUUGGUCUGUUCGACCAUUAAAAUUUUACGUGAUCUGA
rnacentral:rRNA from 1 species